UACAGAGGGGGCAAGCGUUGUUCGGAAUUACUGGGCGUAAAGGGCGCGUAGGCGGCCUGCUAAGUCGAACGUGAAAUCCCCGGGCUCAACCCGGGAACUGCGUCCGAUACUGGCAGGCUUGAAUCCGGGAGAGGGAUGUGGAAUUCCAGGUGUAGCGGUGAAAUGCGUAGAUAUCUGGAGGAACACCGGUGACGAAGGCGGCAUCCUGGACCGGUAUUGACGCUGAUGCGCGAAAGCCAGGGGAGCAAACGGG
rnacentral:rRNA from 1 species